rnacentral:rRNA from 1 species
CAGCCGCCACGGUAAUACGUAGGGUGCGAGCGUUAAUCGGAAUUACUGGGCGUAAAGCGUGCGCAGGCGGUUAUGUAAGACAGUUGUGAAAUCCCCGGGCUCAACCUGGGAACUGCAUCUGUGACUGCAUAGCUAGAGUACGGUAGAGGGGGAUGGAAUUCCGCGUGUAGCAGUGAAAUGCGUAGAUAUGCGGAGGAACACCGAUGGCGAAGGCAAUCCCCUGGACCUGUACUGACGCUCAUGCACGAAAGCGUGGGGAGCAAAUGGGAUUAGAUACCCCCGUAGUCCCUGUCUCUUAUAC